CAAGCACUCUAACGCUUUGACAAUAGAGGCGUGUUCAGAUAUUUGUGACCACCUUGGCCGCUCCGAUAUAUCUGAUGGCGACUGUAUUAUAGUAAUGGGGUUAAAACUGAACACCAGCUACAACAAUAACAGUUUUUGUGACAGACACUUUUAUUGCUGGAUGUACUUUUUUCAUUUACACAUCUAUCAAGUACCUACUUCUCGAGACCUUUCUAUAGUCCAUGUUUUUUAGCAUUAGAAAGAACUUCGCAGAAGUAAGCUUGUGGUUUCAAAUCCAGCACUUUUAGCGGUAAUAAUUUGAAGUAAAUUAUAUGUAUUGACCAUGCUACAUUAGAUAAUUCAAUAAUUAUUAAUAAUUAAAGAGUCUGAUAAAAACUGCACGCUUGCUUCUGUGGAGUUCUUUCUAAUGCUUAAACUUCUUUGCUAUAUAAGCACGUCCUCAUCAUUCACGAAUAAUUUACAUAACGUUCGCUAACUGUUCGCGUGCAUUUCGAACUAUUUUCGUGAAUGGGUCUUAUUUAACCCCACCACCAAAAACGCCCGGCAUUCGCGUUCGGACAGUUUUAACCCCAUUUUAAAAUUGAAGUAUUCUAUGUAUACUGCUAACAUUAGCUUAAGUGCAGUCACGGAAUUCGUCCCUCGUCAAUUUCUAGUGUGUAUUUGACAGUUUGACCAAGUUUAAAGUAAAUAAAGGAAAGACAAGUAAAUAAUAAAUAUUAUAAUUUAUAUAGAUUUGCUGCUGUGACAUACAAAUGUUUAACCUCCUGAACGCCACAGACGGCAAUUGACGUCAGCGUAAAAUCGUGACAACGACGCCAAAGACGGCAUUUCACGACGAUCGUUUUUUGAUGAAAAUCUACUGAAAAGCACCCCACUUUUAGGUUGGCAUUAUUUAUUCACAAAACUUGGCGUUUCUAAAGGUUAAACUGAUUUUUUUUUCUAUUAGAUAUCUUUUAGACAUCACCAAGAUACGAGAACGAUAUGUUUAAGAUCUAACCUGUCAAAUUUGACAUUUGCGCGAUUCUGGAGAUACUCUUGAACGAUUUCCACAGGAUAUGACUUAGAGAUCCAUUUCACAUCUAAUAGAUAUCUUACUCUAUCUAACGUAAAAGUGACAUUGUUUGCCCGAAUUGAGCUGCAAAAGAGAACUAGUUGAUAUCUAAACUAUAACGUAUCUAGAUUGGAUCUAGUACGUGUCGUCUCUUGUGAAUAUCUUGAAGUUCGAAUACGGCAGCUAGUUAAAUUAGUGAAUUCGAGUUUGAACAAGUCACUUUAGGGACAAUUAUUUCAAUAGUCAUAAAACAGUAUUAUUUACUUGUCUAUGUUAACCUCUAGCCGCCCAGAGACCUAUAAAAAGGUCUCCUGUUCCAUUCUAAUUUGAACUUUGUGUUGACAGAAUAAAAUUUCAUUUUGCUUGGCAAGGUUUGACGUAUGGGCGGCUAGAGGUUAAAAGAGCCUUAAUAAUAAAGAUAGGAAGGAAAAGGACCAAGGAUAGGAAGGACCACGGAUACGUCAAAUUACAUAUAUUAUCAAAUUUUUAGCGAUUCUUUUUUUGGUGAAUUUUUGAUAGAGCCUUAUGAUAUUGAUAUUUAUAAUCGAAGAAAGGGUCUAAAAUUGUCAAAUGAAAAUAUACUAUUGUCGAAAUUAAAGUUUUAUUUAGCCAAUAUCCAAUUUGUGAUACUUGUGGCCUUACUCAACUUUAUUUCAAGAAAUAAAAAUAAAUGUUGCUUAUGAA